AAAGGUGUGACGCAUACCGAACUAAAGUAGGGAAAUGUGUGAGCCAGCUGCCGAGAAAAGCCGCUAUUGUUUGUACUGUACCCGUACCGUAAACCGACACAGGUGGAUGAGGAGAGAAUCCUAAGGCCGACGGAAGAAGCAUUGCUAAGGAACUCGGCAAAAUGACCCUGUAACUUCGGGAGAAAGGGUGCCUCGAAAGAGGCCGCAGGGAAUAGGCCCAAGCAACUGUUUAGCAAAAACACAGGUCUAUGCAAAACCGCAAGGUGAAGUAUAUGGGCUGACGCCUGCCCGGUGCUGGAAGGUUAAGGGGAGAUGUCAGGAGACGAAGCAUCGAACUUAAGCCCCAGUAAACGGCGGCCGUAACAAUAACGGUCCUAAGGUAGCGAAAUUCCUUGUCGGGUAAGUUCCGACCCGCACGAAAGGCGUAAUGAUUUGGGCGCUGUCUCGGCAAUGCAUCCGGUGAAAUUGAAGUGCCAGUGAAGAUGCUGGCUACCCGCGCCAGGACGGAAAGACCCCAUGGAGCUUUACUCCAGCUUGAUACUGGGAUUCGGUAUUGUAUGUACAAUAGGUGGGAGGCUGAGAAAUGGUGACGCCAGUCGCCAUGGAGCCGCUGUUGGGAUACCACCCUUGCAGUACUGGAUUUCUAACCAGCAGCCGUGAUCCGGCUGGGGGACAAUGUCAGGUGGGGAGUUUGACUGGGGCGGUCGCCUCCGAAAGGGUAUCGGAGGCGCUCAAAGGUUCCCUCAGAAUGGUCGGAGACCAUUCGAAGAGUGCAAAGGCAGAAGGGAGCUUGACUGCGACACCGACGGGUGGGGCAGGUACGAAAGUAGGACUUAGUGAUCCGGUGGUAUUAAGUGGGUAUGCCAUCGCUCAACGGAUAAAAGCUACCCUGGGAUAACAGGCUUAUCACUCCCAAGAGUUCACAUCGACGGAGUGGUUUGGCACCUCGAUGUCGGCUCAUCGCAUCCUGGGGCUGUAGUAGGUCCCAAGGGUUGGGCUGUUCGCCCAUUAAGGCGGUACGCGAGCUGGGUUCAGAACGUCGUGAGACAGUUCGGUCCCUAUCCGGCGUGGGCGUAGGAUAUUUGAGAGGAGCUGACCUUAGUACGAGAGGACCGGGUUGGACUGACCUCUGGUGCACCGGUUGUCAUGCCAAUGGCACAGCCGGGUAGCCAAGUCGGGAAGGGAUAAACGCUGAAGGCAUCUAAGCGUGAAGCCCCCCUCAAGAUGAGAUAUCCCCCGCAUAAGCGGUAAGACCCCUUGAAGACGACGAGGUAGAUAGGGCAGAGGUGGAAGUGCAGUAAUGUAUGGAGCUGACUGCUACUAAUAGGUCGAAGGCUC
rnacentral:rRNA from 1 species